UACGUAGGUGGCAAGCGUUGUCCGGAUUUACUGGGCGUAAAGAGCGCGCAGGCGGUCGUUCAAGUCGAGUGUGAAAGCCCCCGGCUCAACUGGGGAGGGUCACUCGAUACUGAUCGACUCGAAGGCAGAAGAGGGAAGCGGAAUUCCCGGUGUAGUGGUGAAAUGCGUAGAUAUCGGGAGGAACACCGAUGGCGAAGGCAGCCCCCUGGGCUAACACUGACGCUCAGGCACGAAAGCGUGGGGAGCAAACAGG
rnacentral:rRNA from 1 species